UUUUUCUAACUUACUGUUAUACAUGUUUUCAAACAGCACUAUUUUCUUAAUUACUAUUCAUAUUGCCAAACAAUCUCAAUGUGUACUUCAACUUUAAUAAUAUAGAUAUGUUUGUCUGCAAAAUUUUAACAGUUUAAAAAAAAAUUAACAGUUUUAAUUUUAAUUAUAAAUCUGUUUUUACGUUGAAAUAUUAAUAAAUUAAUGGUGAGAGACAUAAUAGGAAAAACUUAUCACUAAUGAUGCUCUGAAUUUAUUUUUGUUGAUCAGUUACGAAGAAAAGGAGAAAACCAAUGAUGUAAAGACAAAUGGCAGAAGAUGAGUUCAGUUCGUCAUGUUAAACAAUAUAAAUUUCCAGAGAGAGAUUCAACCAAGAAAACAGUUAACUAGGAUUUGUAUUUCUUUUUCUUUUCCAUGUUGUUUCACUGAGAAAAUAAAAAGAACAUACAAACCCACGUUAACUGUUUUCUUUCGGCCAAAAAAAGAAAAUAGUUAACGUGUGUCUGUAACUUCUUUUUCUUUUCUCUGUUGUUUCACUAAGAUUUUUCUGAGAAUUUUUCUUCACCAAUGUCUUACAGCAAAUUUAAGGGGUAAUAUCUUCAAAUAGGUAUUUCAAAUACAAAAUAAUAUUAUCUUAAUACAUUUGUAGAAUAUAAUUUUUUACUUUAUUUAAAAGGAUGAAUUUAAUUAUAUGUUGACAUAUGACUCAAAAUUUUUAGAAAAUAUCUCAAAAGUUCUUCUUUGAUAUAUUCUACAAAAAAAAUCAUUCUCUUUUAUAUACCUUUUCAUUUUUAUUAUUUAUUUUUAGAUAUUCUAUUGAAAAUUUUAUCACUAGAAUUAUUAAAUUUAUAAAAAAUAGCAACAAUUUUUAUAAUAAAAUUUUAAUUAACAUAAAUUUAUAAUAAUAUUAUUUACUAAUUAAUAAAUUAAUUAAUGCAUUAUUUAAUAAUAAAAAAUCCAACAUUUUAGUUUGAUAUUGUUAAAUGUUUUCUCAACAAAUUUUUUUAUAACUAAAAAUAAAGUUCAAAUUUAUAGUUAAAAUUUAUUUAUUGUUAAUAUUUUUAUUGAUUAUAAAGAUUUUAUAGAAACAUUAUAUGUGUAAUUAAUUAAUAUAAAUAAUCAAAUAUGUCAUAUUAAGAGAUAAAAAAAAUUUUGUAACAAUUAAGAGAUUAAUUAAAUGAUCGUAUUAACCGUAGAUAAAAAUGUAACUCUAUUUUAAUAGAAUGUAUAAACUCUAAUAUAAUAUAUGGAUUAUAACAAAAAAAUUUACAAAAAAAAUUAGCAAUAGUUUUUUAUAUAAUAAAAUUUUAAUUAACAUAAAUUUAUAAUAAUAAUAAUAUAUUAUUAGUUACAAAAUUAAUUAAUAUAUUAUCUUGUUGCAAAUAUAUUUAAAAUUUUAGUAGGAUUUUAGCAGAUUUUCUCCGCAAAUUUUGUUAUAACUAAAAUAAAGUUAAAAUUUAUUUAUUUAUUUUUAGUAUUUUAUUGAUUAUUGAAAUUUUCUAUAAAUAUUAAAUAUUAAAUAUUUUAUUAAUUAGUGUAAAUACUUAAAUAUGUCAUAUUAAGUAAUUAAUAGAUAAAAUAAUAAUUAUUCUAUUUAAUAUAAUGUAGAUUCUGAAACGUUUCUUUAACUUUAUUAUGAGCUCUGUUGACCAACUUCACAGUUAAAAUUUAUGUUAAUGGAAAACUCAUUACAUGAUACAAAUUACUUGCAUAGUAUGAAAUAACUUUAAGAUAUAUAUAUAUAUAUAUAUAUAUAUAUAUAACACCAUAAUAAUUUAUUUGUAACGACCGCAAAGACAUAAGGUAAAUAAAUAAUUAAAUUUGUGUAUUAUGUUGAAGCUUUUCUGUUGAAAAGACAACAUAUGCUCAUCUUAUACUAGACGUUGUUAAUUCUAAUUUUCCAUUUGGAUCUUUACCUUUUAAUUGGUUUUAUAUAAUUGAAGGAUUUACAGAAGAAGAAAAGUAGUUGUUGCAUAUUCUAAAUCAUAAGAAAUGACAACAAACAAGUUUUCAUCUCUUUUUUUAUUUUCAUUGAUGGUAUCUACGCUUAUCCUUUUACCAAUGGCUUCAGGUAAUUUUCUUUUUUUUUUUCAAAUUUAAAUUUUCUCAAAUAAAUAAAAUUUGUACUUGAGUAGCUAUUGUUGGAGAAAAAACUGUGUAGUAGUUAGUGUUCUACAUAAAAAAUUAAUUGAUCAUUUCAAUUUUUUUCUUUCCCAAUUAGGAAAAAUACGUAUAUGUCCGGAAAGGAGACCACCUUGUAAGGCCAGCCAAGCAUGUAUACAAAACUGUGAAAAUUUAGGGUACAGAACAGGAGGCUGUGAAUAUAAAUAUGAACAUACCCAUAUAUAUUGUUGUUGUAUAGACAAAUUGAAAUCUCAGGAUAAUCGUCAUUCACCUAAUGCAUUCCCAACUAAUUAACCUCUCAUUUAUAUGUGUAUUUAUAUGACUUAAAAUAUAUUUAUAUGUGACUGAUUUACAUUAUUAUUACAUUUGCCAUGGCUACAUUGUAAAACUACUUCUAUCAAGUCUCCAACACACGUAUUGACCAAAGAUCCCAAGUUCUAGUUUCUGGACUAAACAAUAUUUUAACUUUAAAAGACUCUAAUAUCCGAUCCAUGUUAGAAAAUAAAAUAUGACGUGAAAAAUCAGUUCACAUGAUUAUCAGCCCAGGCCCACCAUAAUCUAAAUCAUUAUGAUUGUAUUCUGUGAGCCUUAAAGGAUUCGCUAAACCCAAUCAACUAGAAACACAACGGUUGUGUUCCCGAUAUUUUCUUAUUCUUCCUUCCUCUUCCUCGUUUUCUCAGAAAAUCAGUAGGCGAAAUGGGUAAUACAGUGGCGACAAAUGCUUUCUAAGCUCUCCGAGCUUUUCUGAAUUUUGUCUUCUGAUUUUGAUUCCAGAGCAAAAGUCGAGCCUCCACUAAACUUCACAGGUAUGGACAGAAUCAGUGGACUGUCCGAUGAGUUACUGGUCAGGAUACUAACGUUUGUUCCGACAAAAGUCGCUGUCUCUACUAGCAUUUUGUCUAAACGAUGGGAGUCUCUCUGGACGUGGGUUCCUAAACUCGAGUUCGUGGAUAUCAAGUACGGAUCAGACACUGCUAUCAAGGAUUUCAUCAACAAGAAUCUGCCAUUACUCAAAUCUCCAGUCAUACAGAGCUUUCUCCUCCAAUGUCCUUCAACAUUUCCACUUGAGGAUAUCAAAUUUUUUAGAAAAUAUCUCAAAAGUUCUUCUUUGAUAUAUUCUACAAAAAAAUUCAUUUUCUUUUAUACUUUUUUUUUUUGAGAUAAUCUAUUGAAAACUUUACCACUAGAAUUAUUAAAUUUAUAAAAAUAGAAAUAUUUUUAAAAUAAAAUUUUAAUUAACAUAAAUUUAUAAUAAUAUUAUUUUACUAAUUAAGAAAAAAAUUAAUGCAUUAUUUAAUAAUAAAAAAAUCCAAACUUUUGUUGGAUAUUAGUUAAAAUAUCCAACUAAAUAAUAUUAGUUAAUUUUGUUAGAUAUUUUUUCAACAAAUUUUGUUAUAACUAAAAAUAAAGUUCAAAUUUAUAGUUAAAAUUUAUUUAUUGUUAAUAUUUAAGAUAUUAUAAAAAUGUUAUAUAUGUGGUUAAUUAAUGUAAAUAAUCAAAUAUGUCAUAUUAAGUGAGUAAUUAAAUGAUCGUAUUAUGACUUAUCAACAGUAGAUAAAAAUAUGACUCUAUUUUAAUAGAAUAUAGACUCAAAUAUAAUAUAUGAAUUAUAGUAAUAAAAUUUAUAAAAAAGAUAAGCAAGAGUUUUUUUAUAUAAUAAAAUUUUAAUUAACAUAAAUUUAUAAUAAUAAUAUAUUGUAGUUACGAAAUUAAUUAAUAUAUUAUUUUAUAACAAAGAUUUUUAAACUUUUGUAGGAUUUUGGUAGUUUUUCUCAACAAAUUUUGUUAUAACUAAAAUAAAGUUAAGAUUUAUUUAUUUUUAAUAUUUUAAUGAUUAUUAAGAUUUUCUAUAAAUAUUAUAUAUUUGAUUAAUUAGUGUAAAUAAUUAAAUAUGUCAUAUUAAGUAAUUAAUUAAAUGGUCCUAGUAUAAUUGUCAAUAAUAUAUAAAAAUAAUUACUCUAUUUUAAUAUAAUGUAGAUUCUGAAAUGUUUCUUCAACUUUAUUAUGAGUUCUGUUAACCAACUUCACAGUUAAAAUUUAUGUUAAUGGAAAACUCAUUACAUGAUACAAAUUACUUGCAUAGUGUGAAAUAACUUUAAGAUAUAUAUAUAUAUAUAUAUAUAUAUAUAUAUAUAUAUAUAUAUAUAUAUAUAUAUAAUUUUAUUUGUAACUACCGCAAAGACAUAAGGUAAAUAAAUAAUUAAAUUUGUGUAUUAUGUUGAAACUUUUCUGUUGAAAAGACAACAUAUGCUCAUCUUUUUUUUUUUUAACUGGCUUUCAUAUUAAAAGGAAACAGAGUACAUGAGAAGCUUAAAAAAACGUACUAAAAAAAAACAUAGUGAAAUUUAAAAAGAAACAUAGGGAGAGGGUCACAAUGACUUCGACAGCCAUGGAAGUGAAACAAAGAAAAUGCAGCAACAGGAGGCUACAUUAUCAGACUGAAGACCACAGAGCAACUAAACUUGAAGCAAAGUCUGACCCACAGCUACACAUAGCCAUCGACUUAUCCUUUGCCAGCUUGAUGACCUCUCUAGAUAACAUGAAAUGAGGUUUUGUAACCCCAUUAUGGUAUCGCGCAUUCCGCUCUUGCCAGAUGACAUAGAUUGAGCCAUGCCAUAAUUGAAGAAUCGCUGCUAGCUGGGCAGGAUUAGUACUGACAGAAGAUAACCAGUAAAGAACUAACUCCCACUGAAUAGGAGGAUUAAUGAAACCCAACACACCAAUAGCAUUCUCCCAGGCUCGAACAGAGUAUGGACAUAGAAAGAACAAAUGAUCUCUUGAUUCCGGGGAGUUUCCGCACAGAAGACAGCAGUUCUCCAAAUCUAUUCCCCAAGAUACCAAGCGAUCCAUUGUAGGAUUACUCUAUGCUUAGGUAUAACAGCUUGGUUCCAAAUGAAUCUCGCCCAAUAAACAGGAGGUCUUGCCCUCCUAAUAUUUUCCCAUACUGCCUUAGUAGAAAACUUAGAGCAAAUACGGCCAAGAGGUUAUUCUAUGCUUAGGUAUAACAGCUUGGUUCCAAAUGAAUCUCGCCCAAUAAACAGGAGGUCUUGCCCUCCUAAUAUUUUCCCAUACUGCCUUAGUAGAAAACUUAGAGCAAAUACGGUUCCCAACCUUCCAAAUAGUCAUGUCUGAACCAGAAACAGGGGAAAAAAGAUGAUAGGUAAACUUGAAGAUUCACUUGUCUUUCAGAUCUGGCCGGUCUUAGGAUCCAAGAAGAACCUUGAGUUAUCUUAUACUCAUCUUAUACUCAUAUGCUCAUCUUAUACUAGACGUUGUUAAUUCUAAUUUUCCAGUUGGAUCUUUACCUUUUAAUUGAUUUUAUAUAAUUGAAGGAUUUACAGAAGAAGAAAUGACAACAAACAAGUUUUCAUCUCUUUUGUUAUUUUCAUUGAUGGUAUCUACGCUUAUCCUUUUACCAAUGGCUUCAGGUAAUUUUCUUUUUUCAAAUUUAAAUUUUCUUAAAUAAAUAAACUGUGUACUAGAGUAGCUAUUGUUGGAGAAAAAACUGUUUAGUAGUAGUGUUCUACAUAAGAAAUUAAUUGAUCAUUUCAAUUUUUUGCUUUUCCAAUUAGGAAAAAUCCGUGUAUGUCCGGAAAGAAGACCACCUUGUAAGGCCAGCAAAGCAUGUAUACAAAACUGUAAAAAUUUUGGGUACAGAACAGGAGGCUGUGAAGAAAUAUAUGCCGAUGUAUAUUGUUGUUGUGUAGACAAAUUGAAAUCUCAGGAUAAUCCUCAUUCACCCAGUGCAUUCUCAACUAAUUAACCUCUCAUUUAUACACAUUUAUAUGACUAAAAAUAUUUUUAUAUGAAUAAAAAUAUAUUUAUAUGUGAUUGAUCUACAUUAUUAUUACAUAUGCCAUGGCUACAUUGUAAAACUAGUUCUAUCAAGUCUCCAACACACACACGUAUAUGACCAAAGAUCCCAAGUUCUAGUUUCUGGAUUAAACAAUAUUUUAACUUAAAAAAGACUAACAUCCACCCAUGUUAUGAAAAUAAAAUAUGACGUCAAAAAUCAGUUCCCAUGAUUAUCGGCCCAGGCCUACCAUAAUCUAAAUCAUUAUGAUUGUAUUCUUUGGGCCUUAAAGGAUUAGCUAACCCAAUCAACUAGAAACACAAUUUGUAUUCACGAUAUUUUAUGAUUCCCACAUCCUACCUCAGUCAAUCAGUAGGCGAAAUGGGUAUACAGUGGCUACAAAUGCUUUCUAAGCUUUUCUGACUUUGGCUUCUGAUUUCGAUUCCAGAGCAAAAGUCGAGCCUCCACUAAACUUCACAGCUAUAUGGACAGAAUCAGUGGACUAUCCGAUGAGUUACUGGUCAGGAUACUAACGUUCGUUCCGACAAAAGUUUCUGUAUCCACCAGCAUUUUGUCUAAACGAUGGGAGUUUCUUUGGACGUGGGUGCCUAAACUCGAGUUCGUGGAUAACAAGUAUGUAUCAGACCUUGCUAGGAUGUUCCUCGCACGGUUUCUCUCCCUAAAUUGAAAACUCUGCAUC